rnacentral:rRNA from 1 species
CGUGCCAGCAGCCGCGGUAAUACGGAGGGUCCAAGCGUUAUCCGGAUUCACUGGGUUUAAAGGGUGCGUAGGUGGAACGAUAAGUCGAUGGUGAAAGCCUACAGCUUAACUGUAGAAUUGCCAUUGAUACUGUUGUUCUUGAGUAUAGUCGGGGGAAGUGGAAUGCGUAAUGUAGCGGUGAAAUGCAUAGAUAUUACGCAGAACACCGAUCGCGAAAGCAGCUUCCUAGGCUAUUACUGACACUGAGGCACGAAAGCGUGGGGAGCGAACAGGAUUAGAUACCCUGGUAGUCCACGCCGUAAACGAUGCUCACUCGCUGUUGGCGAUAUAUUGUCAGCAGUUAAGCUAAAGCAUUAAGUGAGCCACCUGGGAAGUACGUCCGCAAGGAUGAAACUCAAAGGAAUUGACGGGGGCCCGCACAACCGGUGGAACAUGUGGUUCAAUUCGAUGAUACGCGAGGAACCUUACCUGGGCUUAAAUGUAGUUUGACUUCCGCCGAAAGGCGGUUUUCCUUCGGGACAAAUUACAAGGUGCUGCACGGCUGUCGUCAGCUCGUGCCGUGAGGUAUCGGGUUAAGUCCCUUAACGAGCGCAACCCCUAUUGUUAGUUACCAACAGGUUAAGCUGGGGACUCUAGCAAAACUGCCAGCGUAAGCUGGAGGAAGGUGGGGAUGACGUCAAGUCAGCAUGGCCCUUAUGUCCAGGGCUACACACGUGUUACAAUGGCCGAUACAAAGGGCAGCCACCACGCGAGUGGGAGCUAAUCCUUAAAAUCGGUCUCAGUUCGGAUCGAAGUCUGCAAUUCGACUUCGUGAAGGUGGAAUCGGUAGUA